rnacentral:tRNA from 1 species
UCCUGGUUAGCUCAAUGGUAGAGCAUCCGGCUGUUAACCGGAGGGUUGCAGGUUCGAGUCCUGCACCAGGAGCCA